CUCAAUGUUUGUGAACCUCUUCCAUUUGCUUUCAUUCUCCAUAUGAAAACGGCAAGGCUUCUUUCAAAAGUCAUACAGCGCCCAGCGGAGUCCAACCUCCUAAUGAAAGGGACAGGAAUCCACCAGACACCCCGUGUGCACAGUGCCCAACUAAUCAGUGGCAGCAGGUACCUCUCAAAGGCAGGGCAGUCUGAGCAACUGGUGUGCCUGCUCCCCAGGCACCCCUUGGGAACAGGUAUGCAGCCCUGGGGCCCCUGGAGGAGGAGGCAGAAGAACUGGUCCCCAGAGGAAUUGAAGCCGGUUGACCUACAUCACCAGCUCAGAAGUCACAGCCCAAGAAGGAGAUGCAAAGUUCUGGUCAUCGCGGACUCCAUCCUGAGGGGAACCGAUGGUGCAAACUGUCACCCAGAGCCCUGGUCACGGCAGGUCUGCUGCAUGCCUGGAGCGAGGAUUCGCAAUGUCGCAGAGACCAUCCCUAAAAUCAUCAAGCCCUCUGACUACUACCCACUGGUUGUGGUCCAUGUGGGUACAAAUGAUGCAUCCAAGGGCAAGCUGGAUAACAUCAUGGAGGGGACUACAAGGCCUUGGGACACCAGCUGAAGAGGAUGGGAGCUCAGGUGGUAUUUUCCUUCAUUCUUCUGGUUUGCUGAUCUCAUGUGGCGGGCUUUAAACUAGCUUCACUGGGGGAAGGGGCUGCUUUGAGUGAACAGGAUACUUCACCAGCACACAGGGUGAUGAGAGGAAGGGAA